UGGAGCGUGUGGUUUAAUUCGAUGCAACGCGAAGAACCUUACCUGGGCUCGAACGGCUCACGAAAGCGCCUGGAAACAGGUGUUUCCCGCAAGGGACGGGAGUCGAGGUGCUGCAUGGCUGUCGUCAGCUCGUGUCGUGAGAUGUUGGGUUAAGUCCCGCAACGAGCGCAACCCUUGCCCUGUGUUGCCACUCCGAAAGGAAGCACUCUCAGGGGACCGCCAGCGAUAAGCUGGAGGAAGGUGGGGAUGACGUCAAGUCAGCAUGGCCUUUAUAUCUUGGGCA
rnacentral:rRNA from 1 species